rnacentral:rRNA from 1 species
UACGAAGGGGGCUAGCGUUAUCCGGAUUUACUGGGCGUAAAGCGUGUGCAGGCGGUUUAGUAAGUGGGGUAUGAAAUCUCCGCGCUUAACGUGGAGGGGUUAUGCCAGACUGCUGAACUCGAACCCAUCAGAGGGACGUGGAAUUCCGGGUGUAGCGGUGAAAUGUGUAGAGAUCGGGAGGAACACCGGUGGCGAAGGCGGGUCUCUGGGCAUUUCCUGACGCUGAGGCGCGAAAGCGUGGGGAGCAAACGGG